GCCAGCCUCAGCAAUUUGGUGAGGCCCUGAGCAACUCAGCAAGACCCUGUCUCUAAAUAAAAAAUAAAAAGGGCUGGGGACGGGGCUCAGGGGGAGGGCUCUCCUAGGUCCAACCCCAAUACUGCCAAAUAGACUAAGUGUGACCUCACUGACAGCCACAGUGGCCAGCACAGACCUGUUGGAAACAGAGCUCCGGGCACUUCCUGUUCUGAAAGAAAGACGUCCUGCCCAGGCCGACAGUGCAGAGCAGGGCCUCGUGCUAGGCCGACUUUGUUUAAUAAGCACAUAAUCAUACACAACAGAGAAUAAUGGUCGUAACUUCAGCAUGAAGCAGGAGAAUCAAGUGCCAUGAUUGAGCUCCUCUGGUUCUCUUUUUUUUUAGUAUUUCCAGUUCUAGAUGGACACAGUGCCUUUAUUUUGUUUAUUGACGUCUUUUUUUUUUUAAAUCUUCAUUUUAUUCUCUAUGUGGUGCUGAGAAUCGAACCCAGUGCCUCAAGCAUCCUAGGUGAGUGCUCUACCUCUGAGCCACAAGCCCAGCCCUGACUGAGUUUUUUUACGUGGUUCUGGGGCUGAAACCCAGGGCCUCACACCUGCUAGACAAGUUCUCAACCCCUGAGCCCCAGCCCCAGCCCUUUUUAUAAUUUAUUUAGAGACAGGGUCUCGCUAACUUGAUGAGGGCUUCACUAAGUUGAAGAGGCCGGCCUCCAAC
rnacentral:lncRNA from 1 species